CAAAGGCAUACAAAUCAAGUUUCUAGUUGUCAUUGAAGGUGGGAAUGAGGGGUAGGGCUGAAACCAGAGGGAUUGAUUCAAAAUCUUGAUUCCAAACGAUUAGACCCAUAGGUCCCUGCUCUACCCAGCUUAAUCAAAAGUCCAUCUGUAUUAGUUUGCCUGGGCUGCCAUAACAAAGUACCUGUGUUUAACAAAGGUUUAAACAACAAAAAUUUAUUUUCUCACAGUUCUGGAGGCUGGAAGUCCAAGAUCAAGGUUUUGGCAGAGUUGGUUUCUUUCUGAAGUCUCUCUCCUUGGCUUGCAGGUGGCCGUCUUCUUGCUGUGUCCUCACAUGGUCUUUUCACUGGUUUGAGAAGCACUUGUCCAGGGCUUGAAGAUCCAGCCAUGAGUGGAAGCCAUAUCUCCCGGGGGUUCAGGGCAAAGAAGAGUGCUGUAGGUAAACGGUAACCAGUGGACCAGGUCUAUUGUGGCAGAGAUUCUUCUUCACAAUUCACUCAGGAUUAUCGUUGGAUGAAACUAAUAUGAUGAGCAGUUCAUGGGAAACUAGAAUGAGCUAUCAGAUGGUCACCACCUAAAGCCAUUGAUCAAUCUUGGCAUCACUAAAAAGAGAACAACCAGACACUGUGGACCUUCUGAGGGACUGGGUGACCAAGGCUUUGUCACCACCUAUGAGAUGUUAUGGCCUAAAAUAUGAAGCUGACUCCAACCAAGCCUCUGGAAAUAAGGAAGAUCGGGAAACAAGUUGAAUGACACUCCAAGGAGCCAGACAGACAAAUAUAGAAUGUUGACAAGCCUAUGGGAAACAGACUGAAUUACUGCAACAAGUCAAUGAUAUAAAAAUAAAAUUGUGAUGUGGGAGAGGAGAGGACUCUACAUUAAAAUAGAUUUAAAAGGCAAACAACGAAAUGUAGUUUGUAGACCUGGUUUGGAUCUUGAUUUAGACAACUAACUGUUAAAAGACAUUUUUGAGCAAUUGGGGAAGUUUUAUUAUGGACUGGGAUUAGGAGGUGCCAAAGAGUUAUUCUUGAUUUUGUUGGAUAUGAUAAUGGCAUGGUGGUUAUAAAUGAAAAUUGCCACAUUUUAAAAAUGGAACAUGCAAAUAUGUAGAGGUGCAAUGACAUGAUAUGUGAAAUUUCCUUUAAAAUAAUUCAACAAAAGGGAGAAAAAAGAAUAGAUAAAACAAAUGUGGCAAAAUCUUUUAUAAUUAUUGCAUUUAGGUGAAUGGGGAUAUGAGGAGUCAUUGUACUGUUCUCUCCACUUGCUGCAUUUCCUUUUUUUAUAAGCAAACUCUUUUAAAAAAACAACAAAGUUCAGAACUCAAUUUGUUAUUUGUCUAGGCAUUAGGCUACAAGGAGGGGAGUGGACAGAUGGAGGUGGCUAUGGAGGCUUUAGACAAGGCUUUAAGAACCAGCAUGUGUAGGCCAGCCCCGUGGCCAAGUGGUUAAGUUCUCGCGUUCUUCUUCAGCAGCCCAGGGUUUCGCCAGUUCGGAUCCUGGGCACGGACCUAGCACCACUCAUCAAGCCAUGCUGAGGCGGCAUCCCACAUGCCACAACUAGAAAGACCCACAACUAAAAUAUACAACUAUGUACUGGGGGGCUUUGGGGAG
ensembl:lncRNA